rnacentral:lncRNA from 1 species
UGAGGGUUGAAGGGGAGCGGUUUGCCUCCCUCGUCCAGGCCGAGUGGACGCGCCACCCUCUUGCCGUCUCCCUGUCCGAACAGCACCUUCUUACUAAACCGAUCGGAGGUCGGACCGGGAGGGCGGGGGACGGAGGCGGGUCAUGGGCUGAGGGGGAGGGUAGACGAGUGGCGGAAACCCUUAGACUCAGAGAAGCAUCGAGAACCGGAAGGAGACCUUAGGAGGAAGAAGCCAGGGUGCACUGAUUAGUAGGGAACAUUGGAACCUAACAACCAGACACUCUCAACAUACAGGGAGAACAAUGAAGAAAACUUCAAAGAAACCAAUUGUUGUUGCCCUAAUCUAACAAAGAAGUACACUGAAACUUUACUGCUCUGCAAUAAAGCACAGCAAACUGGGAUGAAUUUGUGGUCAG